ensembl:snoRNA
GCCGAGGCUAGAGUCACAUCUAGGUAUUGCCAGUUAUCUUGGUGUGCUAUAGUACUCGGAGAGAAACAGCUGACCUUUAUUCACUGACUGUCCUCCGUAGUCCAGUCAGUUGCCUGGUUAGCAACAGUG